rnacentral:rRNA from 1 species
CCUACGGGUGGCAGCAGUGGGGAAUAUUGCACAAUGGGGGAAACCCUGAUGCAGCGACGCCGCGUGAGCGAAGAAGUAUUUCGGGAUGUAAAGCGCGAGCAGCAGGGAAGAAAAGGACGGGACCUGACUAAGAAGCUACGGCGAAAUACGGGCCAGCAGCCGCGGUAAUACGUAGGGAGCAAGCGUUAUCCGGAUUGACUGGGUGUAAAGGGAGCGUAGGCGGUAAGGCAAGGCUGAUGUGAAAGGCCAGGGCUCAACCCUGGGACUGCAUUGGAAACUGUUGCACUGGAGUGUCGGAGUGGCAAGUGGAAUUCCUCGUGUAGCGGUGAAAUGCGUAGAUAUUAGGCGGAACCCCAGUGGCGCAGGCGGCUUGCUGGACGAUGACUGACGCUGAGGCUCGAUAGCGUGGGGAGCACACAGGAUUAGAUACCCGUGUAGUC